CUGGCCCUCAGACUACAGGUAGGAGAGAGACUGGCCCUCAGACUACAGGUAGGAGAGAGACUGGCCCUCAGACUACAGGUAGGAGAGAGACUGGCCCUCAGACUACAGGUAGGAGAGAGACUGGCCCUCAGACUACAGGUAGGAGAGAGACUGGCCCUCAGACUACAGGUAGGAGAGAGACUGGCCCUCAGACUACAGGUAGGAGAGAGACUGGCCCUCAGACUACAGGUAGGAGAGAGACUGGCCCUCAGACUACAGGUAGGAGAGAGACUGGCCCUCAGACUACAGGUAGGAGAGAGACUGGCCCUCAGACGACUACAGGUAGGAGAGAGACUGGCCCUCAGACGACUACAGGUAGGAGAGAGACUGGCCCUCAGACGACUACAGGUAGGAGAGAGACUGGCCCUCAGACUACAGGUAGGAGAGAGGGGCGGAAACAGAGACAGACGGCGAAUAAGAAAGCUGUCCUGUCAAAUGAUUGCAACAUGAUUGUCACAGCUCUUAAAAAGGAUGUUUCUUCCUCAUCCAUCUGUCUCUCGCUGUCUCUCUCUCUCUCUCU